AACCUUGCAUAUCACUGACCUCUUAUUCAACUUAGUCCUUACCUUGUAGUGGCUGUGGAAAUCACAAAUUGACAAGAUGCGUUGUUUGGAACACCUUUCUGACACCUACAGAGACUGCUUGGGAGAGAUGCUCUAAUGUCCUCUAGACUUACAUACCAACAUAGCCAAGGACAGCAGCAUGAGGGUAAGUAAUCUUCAACAGUCCUGAAA
rnacentral:lncRNA from 12 species